ACGAACGCUGGCGGCGUGCCUAAUACAUGCAAGUAGAACGCUGAAGAGAGGAGCUUGCUCUUCUUGGAUGAGUUGCGAACGGGUGAGUAACGCGUAGGUAACCUGCCUUGUAGCGGGGGAUAACUAUUGGAAACGAUAGCUAAUACCGCAUAACAAUGGAUGACACAUGUCAUUUAUUUGAAAGGGGCAAUUGCUCCACUACAAGAUGGACCUGCGUUGUAUUAGCUAGUAGGUGAGGUAAUGGCUCACCUAGGCGACGAUACAUAGCCGACCUGAGAGGGUGAUCGGCCACACUGGGACUGAGACACGGCCCAGACUCCUACGGGAGGCAGCAGUAGGGAAUCUUCGGCAAUGGGGGCAACCCUGACCGAGCAACGCCGCGUGAGUGAAGAAGGUUUUCGGAUCGUAAAGCUCUGUUGUAAGUCAAGAACGGGUGUGAGAGUGGAAAGUUCACACUGUGACGGUAGCUUACCAGAAAGGGACGGCUAACUACGUGCCAGCAGCCGCGGUAAUACGUAGGUCCCGAGCGUUGUCCGGAUUUAUUGGGCGUAAAGCGAGCGCAGGCGGUUUGAUAAGUCUGAAGUUAAAGGCUGUGGCUCAACCAUAGUUCGCUUUGGAAACUGUCAAACUUGAGUGCAGAAGGGGAGAGUGGAAUUCCAUGUGUAGCGGUGAAAUGCGUAGAUAUAUGGAGGAACACCGGUGGCGAAAGCGGCUCUCUGGUCUGUAACUGACGCUGAGGCUCGAAAGCGUGGGGAGCGAACAGGAUUAGAUACCCUGGUAGUCCACGCCGUAAACGAUGAGUGCUAGGUGUUGGAUCCUUUCCGGGAUUCAGUGCCGCAGCUAACGCAUUAAGCACUCCGCCUGGGGAGUACGACCGCAAGGUUGAAACUCAAAGGAAUUGACGGGGGCCCGCACAAGCGGUGGAGCAUGUGGUUUAAUUCGAAGCAACGCGAAGAACCUUACCAGGUCUUGACAUCCCGAUGCUAUUUCUAGAGAUAGAAAGUUACUUCGGUACAUCGGUGACAGGUGGUGCAUGGUUGUCGUCAGCUCGUGUCGUGAGAUGUUGGGUUAAGUCCCGCAACGAGCGCAACCCCUAUUGUUAGUUGCCAUCAUUCAGUUGGGCACUCUAGCGAGACUGCCGGUAAUAAACCGGAGGAAGGUGGGGAUGACGUCAAAUCAUCAUGCCCCUUAUGACCUGGGCUACACACGUGCUACAAUGGUUGGUACAACGAGUUGCGAGUCGGUGACGGCGAGCUAAUCUCUUAAAGCCAAUCUCAGUUCGGAUUGUAGGCUGCAACUCGCCUACAUGAAGUCGGAAUCGCUAGUAAUCGCGGAUCAGCACGCCGCGGUGAAUACGUUCCCGGGCCUUGUACACACCGCCCGUCACACCACGAGAGUUUGUAACACCCGAAGUCGGUGAGGUAACCUUUUGGAGCCAGCCGCCUAAGGUGGGACAGAUGAUUGGGGUGAAG
rnacentral:rRNA from 1 species